GACGAACGCUGGCGGCGUGCUUAACACAUGCAAGUCGAACGGUGAAGCGCCUUCCUUUUUGGUGGGUGUGGAUGAGUGGCGAACGGGUGAGUAACACGUGAGUAACCUGCCCCCUUCUUCUGGAUAACCGCAUGAAAGUGUGGCUAAUACGGGAUAUUCUGGGUCUGUCGCAUGAUGGGUCUGGGAAAGAUAUUGUUUCGGUGGGGGAUGGGCUCGCGGCCUAUCAGCUUGUUGGUGGGGUGAUGGCCUACCAAGGCGGUGACGGGUAGCCGGCCUGAGAGGGUGGACGGUCACACUGGGAGUGAGACACGGCCCAGACUCCUACGAGAGGCAGCAGUGGGGGAUAUUGCACAAUGGGGGCAAGCCUGAUGCAGCGACGCCGCGGGAGGGAUGGAGGCCUUCGGGUUGUGAACCUCUUUCGCCAGUGAAGCAGGCCUGCCUCGUUUGUGGGUGGGUUGACGGUAGCUGGAUAAGAAGCGCCGGCUAACUACGUG
rnacentral:rRNA from 1 species